rnacentral:misc_RNA from 1 species
GAUGAAGAACUCAGCGAAAUGCGAUAAGUAAUGCGAAUUGCAGAAUUCAGUGAAUCAUCGAAUCUUUGAACGCACAUUGCGCCCGCCAGUAUUCUGGCGGGCAUGCCUGUCUGAGCGUCGUUUCGACCCUCGCGCCCGGCUUCUGUCGGGGGCGGUGUUGGGGAUCGGCCACACCCUUCAGUGGGAGGCCGGCCCCUAAAUUCAGUGGCGACCACGCUGUAGCCUCCCCUGCGUAGUACUAAAACCACCUCGCAGGCGGAGAGCGGUGCGGCCCGCCGUAAAACCCCCCAACUUUUACAAGGUCGACCUCAGAUCAGGUAGGAAUACCCGCUGAACUUAAGCAUAUCAAUAAGCGGAGGA